GACGAACGCUGGCGGCGUGCUUAACACAUGCAAGACGAACGGAAAGGCCCCCUUGUGGGGUACUCGAGUGGCGAACGGGUGAGUAACACGUGAGUAACCUACCCUUGACUUUGGGAUAACUUCAGGAAACUGGGGCUAAUACCGGAUAGGAGCUCCUGCUGCAUGGUGGGGGUUGGAAAGUUUCGGCGGUUGGGGAUGGACUCGCGGCUUAUCAGCUUGUUGGUGGGGUAGUGGCUCACCAAGGCUUUGACGGGUAGCCGGCCUGAGAGGGUGACCGGCCACAUUGGGACUGAGAUACGGCCCAGACUCCUACGGGAGGCAGCAGUGGGGAAUAUUGCACAAUGGGCGGAAGCCUGAUGCAGCAACGCCGCGUGCGGGAUGACGGCCUUCGGGUUGUAAACCGCUUUCGCCUGUGACGAAGCGUGAGUGACGGUAAUGGGUAAAGAAGCACCGGCUAACUACGUG
rnacentral:rRNA from 1 species